CACGUAGGGGGCAAGCGUUGUCCGGAAUCAUUGGGCGUAAAGAGCUCGUAGGCGGCUCAGUAAGUCGGGUGUGAAACCUCCAGGCUCAACCUGGAGACGCCACCCGAUACUGCUGUGGCUAGAGUCCAGUAGGGGAGUGUGGAAUUCCCGGUGUAGCGGUGAAAUGCGCAGAUAUCGGGAGGAACACCAGCGGCGAAGGCGGCACUCUGGGCUGGUACUGACGCUGAGGAGCGAAAGCGUGGGUAGCAAAUAGG
rnacentral:rRNA from 1 species